AUACGUAGGGGGCGAGCGUUGUCCGGAAUGAUUGGGCGUAAAGGGCGCGUAGGCGGCCCGGUAAGUCUGGAGUGAAAGUCCUGUUUUUAAGAUGGGAAUUGCUUUGGAUACUGUCGGGCUUGCGUGCAGGAGAGGGAAGUGGAAUUCCCAGUGUAGCGGUGAAAUGCGUAGAGAUUGGGAGGAACACCAGUGGCGAAGGCGACUUACUGGACUGUAACUGACGCUGAGGCGCGAAAGUGUGGGGAGCAAACAGGAUUAGAUACCCUGGUAGUCCACACUGUAAACGAUGAAUGCUAGGUGUAGGGGGUAUCGACCCCUGCUGUGCCGCAGUCAACACAAUAAGCAUUCCGCCUGGGGAGUACGGCCGCAAGGUUGAAACUCAAAUGAAUUGGCGGGG
rnacentral:rRNA from 1 species